rnacentral:lncRNA from 1 species
AAAUAGAGAAAAGCUGUUCUUCAUUAACAGGAGAAGACCUCGGGCUGCUGAAUAAAGGAGAGCAGGUUGGGAGACAGGCAAGUGAGAGACAGGAGUUUGAGAGCAGUGAAUUAGCAGAAGACUUGGAACUGAAAGAAAGGGAAAGUGAAAGUGCUGGAAAUAAAGUUAUGUGUGGGGGUGUAGAGGGCAAAACAUCUCCUUGAGAAACAGUGGACUAAGACUCUGUUAUUUUGAAUUUGAAUUCUGAGUGACUGUAGACACAGAGCCUGGAUUAGUGCUGUCAUACAAAAAAUCAGCCACAACAACACGCAUAUGGGAAAAGAACAGCAUUGUCAGGAAAAAAUGGACACUAAGAGAAAGAAGAAAGCAGAGGCCCAAGACAAAGAAUAUCUCUUGAUACUAUUAAAUAUAGAUGUCUGGACUGAAUUGAGCUUACACGACAAUUGCAGUCAAGAUUCUGCAACUCAGAACGGGCAAACCAGGCUGAAUCAAUUUACCCUGUGAUCCUGUCUGCUGGGAAGCAUUGAAAUAGUAAGGAAGUCUGAUGUGCCUGCAGGUUAAUCCAGCUGUCUGGGUGACCUAAGCAUCAAGGGUGGAAAGGGAGACUGGAAGUGCAAGUCUGAAAGGAGAAAAAAGAAGGUGAAACCAGUCUGCAGGAGAAAUGACUGGGAAUUUAGAAGGAGUGGGCACCCACAAGAGAAGAGAAGACACGAAGUGAGAAAAGGCUGCUGCUUGCCAAGGCACUUUUAAGAACGGGACAUCUU